rnacentral:rRNA from 1 species
UACAGAGGUGGCAAGCGUUGUUCGGAAUUACUGGGCGUAAAGGGCGAGUAGGCGGCCUUCUAAGUCAGACGUGAAAUCCCCCGGCUUAACCUGGGAACUGCGUCUGAUACUGGGAGGCUCGAGUAUGGGAGGGGGAUGUAGAAUUCCAGGUGUAGCGGUGAAAUGCGUAGAUAUCUGGAGGAAUACCGGUGGCGAAGGCGGCAUCCUGGACCAUUACUGACGCUGAAUCGCGAAAGCUAGGGGAGCAAACGGG